UUGACUCGGAUCAGGUAGGGAUACCCCCUAUA
rnacentral:rRNA from 1 species